ACUGGCCGAAGACAUAGUCAUUAAAGGUGAAUGUUAGGGCAACCCAUCCUUGACCUAGACAGAGAGUCCAAGACCAGGCACUCUGCAUAAAUGACCUCAUUCGGGGUGUUCAGACUCAGAGAAUGAAGAAGAUACCGGCUUGAAUCUCACUUCCAACAAAAUUACUCUGAACCAGACCUGACCAGUUCUGAAGACAAGUGAGUCCAGGAGUUCAAAUCCUUUGUGCCAAGAUCAACUAGAAAGCCAAUAAUGGUGCAUAUGACUAGGUCCUCUCCCCAGCCACACCCUACAUGAUAGUCUGGCUCCAAGACCUGCAGUGGAAACAAAGAAUUGGUUGCAUUAACAAGGCUUACCCUCAACUUGUCCAGAAGGGAUCUGAAGCUGCACUUCUGAGACUCAAACAAGCACGUGAUCUGUCUGCAAAGCAAGUACCUGGCCUUCCUCAGAACCAUCACCAUUUUCUAAUGCUGGCUUCUCCAACUCAAAGCCCAGGCAGAGCUCUUAUGAUUAUUCUGUUUACCUGCUGGGAUUCUUGCCUCCCUCUAGAUUCUAGUCCCUCCUCAGUGGUGGUGCCUUCUCUUUCAUCAGCUUUUGCCUGAAUCAGCUACACCACAGAUUCACCGAGCUCCUUCUUUCCAGCCUCGAGUGUCUUCACUCAGUGUUUCUAACAGGCUCCUCCCUUUUCGCAUUGAGGAAGUACGAAUCCUGUGAGAAGGUGUAUGUGAAGAGGUGCAGGGAGGCUCAGAUUUUGGGUAGGGCGGGAUUUGUGUUGAGCCAGCCAGGCUGGGGAAGUUGGUGGGCAUCCCUGUGUCUAGCACAGAUCUGGUUGGAAGUACAACAGAUGGGGAGGUAACUGUCAUAGGAUUCCCCAAAACUUCCAAACUCCCUAUCCAUAAGCCUCCUGUAGAGUAAAGGACGCUCAGUUGCUUGUAUAGUAUAGAUAGUAUAGUAUAGUAUAGUAUAGUAUAGUAUAGUAUAGUAUAGAUACUGAUCAUGUGAGAUGGCACAGGACCUAGGACAGACAGACCACUGGAGAGGCUAGAGAGAUGCCUGCCCAUGCACAAAGUACUUUAGGAGGCCAUGACACUCAGCUGGUCCAUGUCUAUGUCACUCCUGGCCAGACUCCAAACCAAGAAAAGAAAAUCUGUAGCCUGAGUUGUUUGCCUCCCACAGGGCUUGCCUGGCCUUUGGCUGCUGGCUGCAGGGAGAUGCAUUUUUCCUUCCUCUGUGGGCAGCAAAUUCCCCACAAGUCAGAUGCUGUGUAUGUGGCCUCACCACAUGCUUCUACUGAGGCUUUUGGGUGCCUCCUUUCUUUUAUAAGAGUUGCCUAUAAUGGUGUCUCUUCACAGCAAUAGAAGAGUGACUAAGACAGGUGGACCAUCCUUAACCCGAAGUUUGAAAUGCUCCCAAACUUGAAACUUCUUGAGAGAAGACAUGUUACAAGGAGAGAACUUGACUCAUGACUUCAUGUGAAAAGUUAAAAUGCAGUCAAAAUGCAGAUAUACAGAAUUAUCUUUAGGCUGUCCUCAUACAAUGUAUAUGGACAGUCAUACUUUGUGCUUAGACUCAUUCCCAAGACCUCAUGAUGCAUGCAAAUACUUCCAAGUCAGAAAUCCCAAAUCCCAAACCCUCCUUGUUCCCAAGCACUUAGGAUCUGCAGUGUUCAGCCAGCUUAGCACUGCUCUUUUCUACAGUUAGUGAUACAGUUAAACUUGCAAGUUGGGCACCAUAGGAGACUAACCGCUCUCAUACUGUCAGGCUGUCUUCAUAAAGUACUGUUACUUGUGAAUAUUUGUCCAUGGGUCACUUACUCAUUAUCCAACAAACAAUUCCUACUUAAGUAGGAAUUGAGUAUAUUCAUUAUCUACUCAAAAACACUUUAAAAUUGAUCACAAGAGGCUUUAUUUAGCACUUUUAAACUUAACACAAUCAAACUCUCAUAUGAUGUAAACAGUAGAAUGACCCUAGACAUAUUUCCAAAGCUUUACAUGAGGGCUGGAGAGAUGGCUUGGUGGUUAGGGGUGAUUGGUGUUCUUGCAGAGGACCAGGGUUCAAUUCCCAGCACCCUUGUGAAGGUCCACAGCUGUCCCAAGAUUUCAUACAAAGUUUGGAAGAUGUGAAAAAAAUACAAUUUUUUUCUAUAGA
rnacentral:lncRNA from 1 species